rnacentral:rRNA from 1 species
GAUGAACGCUGGCGGCGUGCUUAACACAUGCAAGUCGAACGGAAAGGCCCAAGCUUGCUUGGGUACUCGAGUGGCGAACGGGUGAGUAACACGUGGGUGAUCUGCCCUGCACUUCGGGAUAAGCCUGGGAAACUGGGUCUAAUACCGGAUAGGACCACAUUUUGGAUGGUGUGGUGGAAAGUUUUUCGGUGUGGGAUGAGCUCGCGGCCUAUCAGCUUGUUGGUGGGGUAAUGGCCUACCAAGGCGUCGACGGGUAGCCGGCCUGAGAGGGUGUACGGCCACAUUGGGACUGAGAUACGGCCCAGACUCCUACGGGAGGCAGCAGUGGGGAAGAUUGCACAAUGGGCGCAAGCCUGAUGCAGCGACGCCGCGUGGGGGAUGACGGCCUUCGGGUUGUAAACUCCGUUCGCUAGGGACGAAGCGUUAUGUGACGGUACCUGGAGAAGAAGCACCGGCUAACUACGUG